UCAGUUGGUAGUUUUGGAUUAGUGACAGGGCCGUCCCUAAGAAUUUGGAGGCUCGGCUCUGGGAAUGAAAAGAGGCCAGUGAUAAA
rnacentral:pre_miRNA from 1 species